rnacentral:rRNA from 1 species
GGUGCUUCAAAGCACCGCCAAAAGAUGAGUCCGCCCCCCAUUAGCUAGUUGGUGAGAUAAUAGCCCACCAAGGCUUCGAUGGGUAGCCGAGCUGAGAGGUUGAUCGGCCACACUGGAACUGAGAUACGGUCCAGACACCUACGGGUGGCAGCAGUAGGGAAUAUUGGACAAUGGGCGCAAGCCUGAUCCAGCCAUGCCGCGUGAGUGAUGAAGGCCUUCGGGUCGUAAAACUCUUUUCUGAGGGAAGAACAUCUGGGAUAGGAAAUGAUCUCAGCUUGACGGUACCUCAGGAAUAAGCAACGGCUAACUCCGUGCCAGCAGCCGCGGUAAUACGGAGGUUGCAAGCGUUGUUCGGAAUUACUGGGCGUAAAGGGAGCGCAGGCGGUUUGGUCAGUCUGAAGUGGAAUCCCGGGGCUUAACCUCGGAAGUGCUUUGGAUACUGCCAGACUUGAGUACGUGAGAGGAGAUCGGAAUUCAGGGUGUAGCGGUGAAAUGCGUAGAUAUCCUGAGGAACACCGGUGGCGAAAGCGGAUCUCUGGCACGAAACUGACGCUGAGGCUCGAAAGCAUGGGGAGCGAACAGGAUUAGAUACCCUGGUAGUCCAUGCCGUAAACGUUGUACACUAGGUGUAGGAGGUAUCGACCCCUUCUGUGCCGCAGCUAACGCAUUAAGUGUACCGCCUGGGGAGUACGGCCGCAAGGCUGAAACUCAAAGGAAUUGACGGGGGCCCGCACAAGCGGUGGAGCAUGUGGUUUAAUUCGAGGCAACGCGAAGAACCUUACCCAGACUUGACAUCCCGAGACAGCCUAUGAAAGUAGGUCUCCCCGCAAGGGGCUCGGAGACAGGUGUUGCAUGGCUGUCGUCAGCUCGUGUCGUGAGAUGUUGGGUUAAGUCCCGCAACGAGCGCAACCCUUGUUCACAGUUACCAUCAGCUCGGCUGGGAACUCUGUGAAGACUGCCGGUGAUAAGCCGGAGGAAGGUGGGGACGACGUCAAGUCAUCACGGCCCUUACGUCUGGGGCUACACACGUGCUACAAUGGCCGGUACAGUGGGUCGCAAUACCGCGAGGUGGAGCUAAUCCCAAAAAGCCGGUCUCAGUUCGGAUUGGAGUCUGCAACUCGACUCCAUGAAGUCGGAAUCGCUAGUAAUCGCGCAUCAGCUACGGCGCGGUGAAUACGUUCCCGGGCCUUGUACACACCGCCCGUCACAUGACCCGAGUCGGGUGCACCC